GGCCACAGUAGUACCCAUCCUUAUCCAAUCAAUCUUAUCAGUGGGAAUCUUUGAAGUUCUUGGAAUUUUCUCUCCAGUAUACUCUUCAAGAAUCCUACGAAUCCCUUCUACUGGAGCAUCAUCAUAAUUUGAUGGGUCAACAGACAAGAGUUUCAAAACUCGGCCAUCGGGAUGGCCAGGGAUUUCAGCAUAUACAUCAGUGAAGGUACCUCCUCUGUCAAUGCAAAAUCUGAGCCUUUCUUCAUUGACACUUCCCAUAUCUAGGUGUAUCCGAUU
rnacentral:misc_RNA from 1 species